ensembl:lncRNA
GAAAAUAAACAAUCACCAGAAUGGUAUCAUCAGAGAGAGUUAAUUUAGCAUUUUAGCACACGUAUUUUUGGCCUUCUUUAUACUUACACGUCUAUGGUGUCUAUAUUAUAGAGAUACUGUAAAUAUUUGCUUUUCAUCCACUUGAUAGUGUACCAUGAAUACUUGUCAUGCUGUUAAUUAUUAAUCUAAAACAUGAUUUUCAAACUUUCAGAUGCAUAAGAAUCACCUGGGAGCAUGUGGGAAACGAAGGUUCUAAGGGUCCUCACUCACAGAUCCGAACGCAUGAAUCUGAGAUGAGGACCAGAGAGCUGCCUGUUGAAAAGCAUCCCAGUGAUUCUGAUGCAGGCGCCUCCCGGCACUCACUCUGACAAACACCGUCCACAGCGCGAUUGUUAAUUGCCGCACUGUGUUUUAUUACAUAGACGUGCCAUAACUUAUUAAACCAAUCUGAUAUUGUUCAUUCAACUCUAGUUUCCAAAUUUUCAUCUGCAUGAUUAAUUCCUCAAUGAAUAACCUACUACAUAACUCUUUCUGAACCUCUCUGAUUAUUCGCUUACAAAGAUGCUACAAAGCGGAAUUACUGGGUCAAAGAGAAUGCAAACUUGAGAAAAGCAGAUGGUAUUUUGGGUAGAAAAACAACCUUCUAAGCUGUAAAGUAUUAGACUAAGAUGAAAGAUUUAACAGCUGCCGCUUUCUGAGAGACUUUCAUACACCAGGAUGGUGGUUCUCAAAAUUUAUCCCGCGUGGACUCACCUGGAGGGCUUAUAAAAACAGAUUGCUGUCGCUUCCUCCCUGCCCGCUCUGAUUCAGCAGGUGAGGUGGGGCUGGAAAGGUGCGUUUCUAACAAGUUCUCAGAUGCUGCUGAUGCUGCUGGUUUGGGGACCACACUUCGAGAACUAGACGCUAUCCCAGCUGUUUCAAGCAAGUUAUUUAAAUGCCCUGGCAGCCCUUUACAGGCGAGGGCUGAGACUCAGAGAGGGUCUGAGGCCAUGAAGCUAAUGAUGCCAGAGCCGGGCGCUCUGAUUCCAGGUUUGAUCAUUUAAUGGCUGAUGCUUUCCUACAAACAGCCUCGUUUCUUACUUCAUUUCACUGCCCACAGAUAAAAUAUUUUUUGAUGUCUUCAUAAUAAGCGCCAAAGGUUCCGGUGUAAACCGCAUCCCUCCCAAUCUCGUAGGGGUGGCUGGGCGAGGAGAGAGGUUUGGAAGUGUUGGCUGAGAAUUUUUUCAGGGGCAGCUGGUCCAAUGAGUGACACUCCACCAUUCACAUCAAUCGGAUGGGUUCCUUCCCCGCCCUCCAUGGCUUCACCGACAUGUGGACUUCCAGACAAUCACUUCUCAACAGUUACUGCAACCGGGUAAUACUUCUUCCUCAGAAGAGAGCUCUCUCUUCUCCAAAAACCACCUCCAGGCUGCUCCACACAAUGGCCCAAACAACCUGUUUGUUCAGGCAACUCAGAAAAUAAAUCAUAUCAGUGCGGAAAAACAAGGAACUCCUGUCAAACCUGCUGGUUAAUAAUACCCGGCAGAGCAAACAGCAGGGGCCUGGCAAACAAGGAGCCAGGAUGGCUUCUCCCACACUCAGGUUAAGAGAGGUGAGCGUUUCCGAACCCACGCCCAGCCUCGCCAGCCACGUGAGUCACACAUAUUUCACAACUGAAGAAAUUCGAAGACCUAAUUAUGCAAAAUUUCGCCUGUUUAUCAUCUCGGGCUUUUGUCACCCUGCUGCCUUGUAGUGUGUUGACAAUUGUGUGUCGAUUUUUUUUCUCCAUAUGUCAUUCAGUCUCCAUGUCUUGAUCCUGCGAUUUGAGGUCUUUGCUAGGCACUCUACAAAGAGAAAUGGAACGCCGGCUGUCUAAAACAUGUUUUGUGUGGCUUCUAGAUAGUUCCAUUGGAUGUGGGUGCCCGAGAACAAUCCAUCCUUCCUGCCCAAUUACAUAACUCAGAAGGCGUUACUCCUAUCUGUCUUAAGGCAAAUUCGGUCUGGGCUGCUUCAUCAUGUAAGACAAGGCAGUACAUCCAACAGCGACAUAAUUGGUCUUUCUGCAUGUGCUCUGAGCCCCCACGGCUUAUUGUUAACACAGCUACUAGAGUCAUCUUUCCAAAGUGACCAUAGUCAACAUGGGGGCGCCACCUGGUACCACGAGGAGCACACCAAGAAAGAGCAGCAACACUGAAGGACUGCGGGAGCCGGACGCUGGGAAUCUGCCGUCUUUCCCUGGACUGCCCACCUCGGCUCAGCUUUCACGUGAGAGAAAUAGAUUGUGUUCUCAUGUAAGCCACAGCCAUUUUGGAUUUUCCUGUUGUGCAGUCAAACCUAACCCUAAAUAAUGCACACCUGUGAUUUGAAAGCAUUUUAGCGCUUACAAAAACACCCUAUAUUACUUAUCUCAUUUCUUCAACAAUCCUAUACAAUGCAAGGAACAGGAACUAUCAUUCCCACUUUUCAGUCGAAGAAACUGACCUUUUAGGAAGUUAAAUGACUUGCACACGGUCAAACAACUAGUAAGUAGAGAGUCUGGAUCAAAGAGAAGUUCGAUAUCUUCGUACAACUAGUCCCACCUGUUGAGACAGGGAGACACAAGCCCGGUGCACGGUCCUGGAGUGAGACAGAUCUGACUGCAGAUUUUUCUGUCUGGCUCCUCUUGUCUUAGGCGAGUUAUCUACCUUUCGUGAUCCUCAUGUAAUUAUUUGCAAGGUGGGUAAACAAUACCUCUAGGGAUCAAACGCUCCGAAUGAGAUAAGGUUUGUGGAGCUCCUGGUCCAGGGUCUGAGAUACAGCAGAUGCUCAGUAAAUAGAGCUCUUAUGGUGGCAGAUGCUUAUCAUUCUAAAGGUUAUUCAGAUGUGGGAGCAAAGGAAUGGAGGGGAGAGACUCAAAGGCUGCUUCAUCUUGAAGUUCUGUAUGUCUGUAAAGAAUUUGAAAUAUUUUUCUUUCUUUCUGGUUCAAAAGAUCAGAUUAGUGGGCCUGGGAGUGGCUAAGUUUCUUGUGUCCUCUGAACAUCUUCAAGUUAUUUCUCCCUAUCUCCAUUUGGGGAGAGACGUCACAGAAAAAUGUUUUUUGCUUUCAAGCUUCUCACAAGACUCAAGAAGAUGGGAAAGCACCCAUUCCAAAGCAAUUUCUAAAUUUCCCUUAUAGAAGUGAAGCGGGAACUCCUAGAGUAGCAAGUUGAAUUUUGUUUCUCAAAUACAGUUUGCAUGCCCCCUUCAGGUAUGUGAUAUCAGACUCAACUAGAUGAGAAAAAUGUCCUUCAAGCCCCUCAGACCUUGAAGAAAGUCAUCCAGAUGCACCCUCUGACGUGCACCUGCAACCACAACGGGGAGCCACGAUGUUUCAGAAAUGUAUCAGCAGCAGAGAGCAUGUUGCUAUUCCCCACACAAUUCAUUUGGGUAAUCCUGCAGUGGCUGUUGUGACAGCAUCUAGUUUGUGGCCACUUUCGUCCCUCGCAAUCUUUUCUGCCCACCAGCAUAGCAAGAGGUCUCAUGGUUGCUUUUCAAUACUGAAGAUUUUGCUGGGUCCUGACUGUACUUCAUCUCUAAAGUGAAGCCUUUCCGGAUGCUUAUGUGCUGCUCCUUGACUCACUGACCUUAGGCUGCGUCCCUUUUCUGACAAGUGCCCUUUCUUACCACGUUUUUCACCCAUCUUGCUAUCUGACUCCAGAUUACAUUAAAUCAACUUUUAAUUUAUUUAGGUAAAUAGCAUUUAGGAAAGCUUUUAUGUCAUUUUAAAAAAGCAACUUCUAUUCAACUGGUAAUGGCCCUGGGAAGUUAUACACAUCUGGCUGUCAAGACUUAAAUGCACAUAUAGUUCUUUGGUGCAUGUGUAUGUUAUAAGUAAAAUUCAGAUGCUGAAGAUUAUUUGGACAGACACGGAACUCUGUUAAUUAGAGCUGCCUCUUCAGGAUCGGAACCUGAGAAUUGUGCUCUUAUUAUGUAAUACACAGGCAAAGUAGGUUACUGUACCUGACGUGGGGCAAAUGUUUAUAAUGUCCAGCCAGAACUGUCACCUGAGGACACAGAGAACAAAGAAACAGAAAGCCCUAAUCAGAUUAGAGCUUAACGAACCCACCUCCGGCUAGCUGUGGACUCGCCCAUGCCAGGCCGUGCCAACGAACAAACAGUAGGACAAAAAUGAGAGAACCAAACCUCUUCUGAAUUAUUUACAUUCUUCUGGUCGCUGUAAUUACAGGAUAUUUUUCAUUUUCUGUUACAACUUGCUCCCAUGCUGAUAUGUUUUUAAGUUGCGAUUUGUUCUCUGUUGCGAGAUAGUUAUGGUAAUCAUUAAAAUGGGCAAAAUUUCUUUCUGAAACAUAUAAAAAAUAAUAGCUGUGUAUGUUUCCACAGAACUGGCGUUUGUGGAUGAAUGGCAGUUCCAGUUAGGUUUUAUAUAAUUUAGCACAAACAUUGCUAGACUGCAAACAUACCACACACAGAACAUCAUAAUAUAAAUUAUGUAGUCCGAAUAAAAUAUCAGGAAAAUCACAUAGUUAAUAUAUUUAUAUAUUUGUCCUUUAUUCCUAAAUAUGAAUUUUUAAGGGAACAUUUUUUCCUGAUAACUAAAACAAUACGUGUUUACUUUAGAAGAGAUGGAAAAAACAAAAAUAAAAAGGAGUCAAUAAGAAUCACUCAUAAUCCUACAACCCAGAGACAUCCAUUCUGUUACCUAGGGGUGGGUAGUUAACUCUGUUAAUUAGGUACAUGCACCCUACUUCUAGUUUUUUUUCUAUACGUUUUAUUUUACAAAAUUGUAUUAUACUGUAACUGUUUUAUAGUCUUAAACAUAUAUGUAUGUAACUGGCAUAUAUAUAUAUAUAGUAACUGGC